AACGAACGCUGGCGGCAUGCCUAACACAUGCAAGUCGAACGAGACCUUCGGGUCUAGUGGCGCACGGGUGCGUAACGCGUGGGAAUCUGCCCUUGGGUUCGGAAUAACAGCGAGAAAUUGCUGCUAAUACCGGAUGAUGACGUAAGUCCAAAGAUUUAUCGCCCAAGGAUGAGCCCGCGUAGGAUUAGCUAGUUGGUGAGGUAAAGGCUCACCAAGGCGACGAUCCUUAGCUGGUCUGAGAGGAUGAUCAGCCACACUGGGACUGAGACACGGCCCAGACUCCUACGGGAGGCAGCAGUGGGGGAAUAUUGGACAAUGGGCGAAAGCCUGAUCCAGCAAUGCCGCGUGAGUGAUGAAGGCCUUAGGGUUGUAAAGCUCUUUUACCCGGGAUGAUAACGACAGUACCGGGAGAAUAAGCUCCGGCUAACUCCGUGCCAGCAGCCGCGGUAAU
rnacentral:rRNA from 1 species